AUGGGCAGUGAAAGAGCUGCUCGAAAACCCACAUCAAUGUCCAGCGCUUGCAACGAGCUUGCAGAAGUUAUUGGCUUCAAAAGAAACAUUGAAGAAGAUGAUAUUGUUCGGUUGCCCUAUCUCCAAGCUGUCAUAAAAGAUACUUUUCGACUUCAUCCUCCCGGGCCACUCUUGUUGCCACGCAAACCUGAGAGGACAGUGGAAAUAGCAGGUUACACAAUACCUAAAGAUUCACGUGUGUUCAUAAAUGUAUGGGCGAUAGGUCGAGAUAAAGAUGUAUGGUCUGAGCCUGAGAAGUUUAUGCCAGAGAGGUUCUUGGGUUCAACAAUUGACUUUAGGGGUGCUGAUUUUGAGCUCCUACCAUUUGGUGCUGGACGUCGGAUCUGCCCUGGAAUGCCAUUGGCUAUUAGAACGGUGCAGUUGAUCCUCGCUUCGUUGUUAAAUCAGUUUAAAUGGAGUCUCCCUAUUGAGCUUGAACGGGAUGGAAUUGAUAUGGAAGAAAAGUUUGGCCCAUCACUAACGAAGGUCGUGCCUCUUUGUAUUGUACCAACACCGGUUUGA
rnacentral:rRNA from 1 species